CAGGCAGUUACAUUCUAGACACAGGCCCCUAGCCAGCUCAUUUGACUGGACACACUUCAGACAACAAGAUGUUUGCUUGUUGUGUCCCAGUUUUCAGAGGCUCUAGGCUCAGGAAAGCCCAGAGUGUGAGACUGUUGUGUUGUUGUAGAAGUUGGCUUAACCCUCAUCCUCGGAGCCACAGGCCAUUUGGCAGGAGGUACCCAAAGAACUCCACGCAGGAGAUCUUUGAAGAGUUAUGUGACGGGUUCGACUUCUCUCCCUCCCUAGUCAAGGGGCAGAAGCAGCAUGCCACUAGCAGCAUCCUGUGCCAGUCUGAGGUGAGAGCAGGAGCAGAAGGUCUUUACCCCCACCCCCCAAGAUGUUCAGGGUGGGCCUGGAACCCUGGUACAAAUCUGAGCACACCCCUGGGGCCCUCACAGGGCUUUCCCAACGGAGUG
rnacentral:lncRNA from 1 species